UACGAGGGGGGCGAGCGUUGUUCGGAAUUAUUGGGCGUAAAGGGUGCGUAGGCGGUUUGGUAAGUCUUAUGUGAAAUCUACAGGCUCAACUUGUAGUCUGCAUGAGAAACUGCCGGGCUUGAGUGUGGGAGAGGUGAGUGGAAUUCCUGGUGUAGCGGUGAAAUGCGUAGAUAUCAGGAGGAACACCUGUGGCGAAAGCGGCUCACUGGACCACAACUGACGCUGAGGCGCGAAAGCUAGGGGAGCAAACAGG
rnacentral:rRNA from 1 species